rnacentral:misc_RNA from 1 species
UUUCAUUUUAUUUAUUUAUUUAUUCUAUUUUUACUUAUUUAUUAUGUUCUUUAUUGUUCGCAUUGUUCUAAUUAUCUUUCUGAUCUCUUAUCUAAUACCUUCUUCAACCGAUCACUUUUGUCCGGACUCUCUCUUACUCGAUCUCUGGUCAAUCCUUUCAAUCGAUCUCACAUGUCUGAUUCCUACCCCCUCUGGAAUCUUCUCUUGGUGUACAUAUGGAAUUGGGAUACAAUUAAAUUUUUCGCUUACCGAUGCGCCCCUUAGGGUCUCACGAGCAUUUAAUGCUUGGACGAGUAAAAAUAGGAGAGGGGGUUCAGUCAUUUUCACACUUUGCUCUCCCCAUUCCCUCAAGCCUCUCGACGCUCUCUCUCAAUUUCCCUAACUUUUCUGGAACCGAUUUGCAAUCUGGUAAUAGUUUGAUCUUUUUCUAAUCAGUUUUAACUUCGUUACCUGAAAAUGAUCGGCACCGAGGGUCAAAGAGUUACAAGUCCGCCCUCCGUUCACUUCUCGUGAUCCUCAGAAGAGGGUGAUGAGGCUGGACCAAGUGAGUGAUCCAAACCUACUGCAACUACCAUUCCGACCACCAGUCAGCCUAUCAGGCCAAGCCAACAGCAGGCUCCAGUCAUGAGGAAGGAGAAUCUACUUGUGGAUGAGCUCCCAUCAAGCCUCAGGAUAGCCGAUCUUGAAUUGACUAGCCUAGAAUUCAAUCUCCCAACUGACUCUUUCAAGCUCAUUAGGUGUCACGAGGAUUUUCUAGCCGAUCACUUCUUCGAUGAAGUAGAUCUGAUUAUUGUGUACGAAGAGCAAUUAAAAGCUGAGCUGCGGUUUCCUCUGGAAUAAUUUUAUAAGGACGUUCUGAGAUAUCACCGAGUUUGUGUAGUUCAAGUACAUUCGAACUCCUGGUGGACUCUGGUGGCCUCUAAAGGUCUUUGCCGAACUAAGGGACUUGAGCCCACAGUGAAAGUCUUCACCGAACUGCAUAGGCUUGCUCGGUGAAAAGAUGAUGAAUUUUGGUUCUUUCAAGCAAAGCCGAAUUGCAGACUCUUCACUUAUCUCCCUUCCUUGCUAAAAAAUUGGAAAGAUUGGUUCUUCAUCCUUAGGAGUAAAGAUCCUCGUGGUUUCAUAGGCAUUCCACGUAGUUGGAAUUACCUAGUCUCAAAGCUAGAAAAGAAUAUCACUCUGAACGAAGCCGAGGAUGCUAUGGUGAAAGAACUGAAAAGCCAGGUGAUCAAUCGAAGAUACUAGUGUUCGGACGUGAUCCUUGCCGAGCUGAAACGGUGGACAAUGAGUGUAAUUGCCUACGAGAACAUUGAGUUACAACUCUUUGACCUCGGCCCUGGGACAGGUAAAACUCGAAUCUUUAAUUUCUUAGUCCUAGCGAUCUGAUUAACUUGCUUCUCUGUGCAGAUAUGGCGGGAGGUGAGGCCGCGAAAGAAGCUCGGAAGCAGAAUAAGGAGCUCAGCAGGAAAGUGCUAGAAAUGAAACGAGCUGAGGCUCGGAAGAGAGCCCGAACUAAAGAGACGAGCUUCAAGGUUCAAAUCCAAGAGCAACAGAUCCUAGAAGUACGGAUCCUCGCUCCAAAGCCUCCCCCUCAAUCAGAACAUCCUUCCCAACCCCCCAUCUCUUCUGUUACAGAGGGUAGAUCCUCACGGCAGGGAAUUUCGUCUGGGUGACCUAUCUCGCAAGGUGCUAGAAUACUACUCCAAUAACUGGAGAAAAACAAAUUGGUGUGGGGCAACCUCAACUUGGCGAAAGUUUUGAGCGCUAUGAUCUGUUUUCCUGAAGACUGAACCCGAAUGACCACAAAAGUAUCGAUGAUCUUCUUAGCCUCUCGAUGAGUUUGAGCUCGAAAGUGAUGGUGACCUAGCACGUGGUCAGAGAGAAGGUCUAUCUUAUGAAGAGGGAGAUGUCAAAAACGGCCCAAGAUGCGGCGGCGGCGCAGAAUCAACUCUCUGCUGCGAAUACUAGGAUCGUCGAACUAGAACAACAGGCGAAGUCUCAUGAAGAGAGGGCAGCUCGGCUAGAGAAGGAACUUGACGAUGUUCGAGCUAAGUUCUCCAAGAAGAUCAAAGCGAAGGAGGAGGAGGCUCUAGUGAAGGAAGUUGGGGCUUAAGUGAAAGCCCAUAGUGAUCUCCUUGCCUAGCUCAUCAAGCGCUAUCCCAAAGAAGACUUUACCUGGCUCGAGG